rnacentral:rRNA from 1 species
GAUCAUGGCUCAGGACGAACGGCUGGCGGCGUGCUUCAUACAUGCAAGUCGAACGAUAAGGUCUCUUCGGAGAUACAUAAGUGGCGGACGGGUGAGUAAAUAGUAGAGAAUCUGCCCUUAAGCGGGGGACGAACAGAGGGAAACUUCUGCUAAUACCCCAUAUGAGCGUACCUGAAAUGGUAUUCUUGAAAACUCCGGUGCUUAAGGAUGAGUCUGCAUCUGAUUAGCUAGUUGGGGGUGUAAUGGACCACCAAGGCGACGAUCAGUAGCUGGUUUGAGAGGAUGAUCAGCCACAAUGGGACUGAGACACGGCCCAUACUCCUACGGGAGGCAGCAGUAGGGAAUUUUGCGCAAUGGGGGAAACCCGUACGACGCAGCAACGCCGCGUGACCGAUGAAGCCCUUCGGGGUGUAAAGGUCUGUCAGUGGGGACGAAACUUGACGGUACCCACAGAGGAAGCAUCGGCUAACUCCGUGCCAGCCGCCGC